GACGAACGCUGGCGGCGUGCCUAAUACAUGCAAGUCGAGCGAGACUCUUCGGAGUCUAGCGGCGGACGGGUGAGUAACACGUGGGCAACCUGCCUGUAAGACUGGGGUAACACCGGGAAACCGGUGCUAAUACCGGAUAAUCCUUUUCCUCUCAUGAGGAAAAGCUGAAAGUCGGUUUCGGCUGACACUUACAGAUGGGCCCGCGGCGCAUUAGCUAGUUGGUGAGGUAACGGCUCACCAAGGCGACGAUGCGUAGCCGACCUGAGAGGGUGAUCGGCCACACUGGUACUGAGACACGGCCCAGACUCCUACGGGAGGCAGCAGUAGGGAAUCCUCCACAAUGGACGAAAGUCUGAUGGAGCAACGCCGCGUGAGCGAUGAAGGCCUUCGGGUCGUAAAGCUCUGUUGUUAGGGAAGAACAAGUACCGGAGUAACUGCCGGUACCUUGACGGUACCUAACCAGAAAGCCACGGCUAACUACGUGCCAGCAGCCGCAGUAAGAC
rnacentral:rRNA from 1 species